UCACUCUUGGAUGGACCUGCGGUGCAUUAGCGUAGUUGGUAGGGGUAAACGGGCCUACCAAGGCGAUGAUGCAUAGCCGAGUUGAGAGACUGAUCGGCCACAUUGGGACUGAGACACGGCCCAAACGUCCUACGGGAGGCAGCAGUAGGGAAUCUUCCACAAUGGACGCAAGUCUGAUGGAGCAACGCCGCGUGAGUGAAGAAGGGUUUCGGCUCGUAAAGCUCUGUUGUUGGUGAAGAAGGACAGGGGGUAGUAACUGACCUUUGUUUGACGGUAAUCAAUUAGAAAGUCACGGCUAACUACGUGCCAGCAGCCGCGGUAAAU
rnacentral:rRNA from 1 species